rnacentral:rRNA from 1 species
UACAGAGGUCUCAAGCGUUGUUCGGAUUCAUUGGGCGUAAAGGGUGCGUAGGCGGCGCGGUAAGUCGGGUGUGAAAUCUCGGGGCUUAACUCCGAAACUGCAUUCGAUACUGCCGUGCUUGAGGACUGGAGAGGAGACUGGAAUUUACGGUGUAGCGGUGAAAUGCGCAGAUAUCGGGAGGAACACCGGUGGCGAAGGCGGCUCUCUGGGCCUGUCCUGACGCGUGAGGCGCGAA